CUAAUACUGUGUUGGUCCCUUUAUGCUGCUAAAACUCCUCUGACCCAGUGGUUCAUCAGAACCUCUGGGGAUGUCCUGUGGAUUCUGUGGGUUGCAGGGUGGGUCCUACCUAGACCAGGCUGAUCCUGGACCAUCCCACAGAUGCUCCAUCAGAUCUGGAUGUGGGGAGUGUGGAACCCAGAUGUUCAGAGGGAGAUGAUGCCACAUCUGGUCCAGCUGAUGGAAGGUCUUGAAGUUCUCUGACUGGCCUCGACUGAAGAUGGUCGUCUCACUGGAUUUAAGGUUCAGAUGCUCAGUAACAAACUCCACCAAUGUGCCAACAGGGAAGCUUUAGGUUUAUUAAAUGUUGCUAUGAAGGUUUCGCUGUUUUUCUUUGUGAAUGCAAUGUGCUCCAACUGAAACUUGAAUUAGAACUUAGAAGUAAAUCCUUCCAUCUGAAAGGAUUUAGUUGCAUUAAUAACCUCAUAACAUUUUAAUUUUUCUUCCAGUCUUGGUUGGAAAUAGAAUCUCUGUAUUGAUUCAGGUAAAAACUGAACUUCACAGCAUGUUGGAGCAAAACAACCAGAUGAAAACUGUGAUGGUGUUGGAUUGUCAGACCGUAAUGUUGCAGCUCAAAGCAGCUUUUCUAUCUCAGUUCAUUCUGACAUUCAGCUAUGAAUCAACACAGCAGAUGGUGAUCCAUGCUGUGGAAGUCUCACAUCUCCUGAUUUAAUGGAACUGCUUUGCACUUUUUACACUGUUUAUUUACCAACACUUUAUUUAAUAAAAGUCCCAUCUAGUUUUUAUGAGGAAUGUGAUGUUUUAAUUUCUCUGUGAAUAACUGCAGUCUAAUGGAACAGCUGGAGUUGUAACAUCUGUCCUGAUAUUGAUCAUGAAGUAUUGAUCAGAAUACUUAUGGUCAGCAGUCAUCCCUGAAGUUUUACAUUAAAACCUUUACUUGUGUUGUGAAUUUGGUAAGAAGCAUUGUAAAGUUUCUGCUCCUUCAAAGUUCACAACACAAUGAAUGAAUUUCUAAAACACUCUCAAUGCUGGAGAGCGUUUGUGAUGCUGAAGCAGUGAGCAGUUUUUCUGUUUCUUCUCUGGAGAUGCACAAUGAGGGACGUCUGCAGAGACUGAGAAAGAGUCUCACCACAUCCUGACAUGAGGAAAAAGACUUUAUUGAAGACUACAAUGAGAAAAACUAUCAGACAGCAGACGGCAUGCAUUCAAGUCUGUAGCUGCUGAAUUCAUGGAUGAAUCAUCUGGCACUAGAGAGGAAGACCAUCAAACAUCCAUGUCAGCUGAUGGAGGUCCAAGAGUCUCACCAAACAACCAACCUACAGAGUGAAGACCUCAAAUCUGAUUGGACGGCCUCCUAUUCAGCCACAUGUGACCACUUUAAUUAUUCUUCAUCUACUUCCUGAAAAGUUUGGUCAAUAAAAAAGACAAAAACUAGUAUUUUCAGCUGAACUAAAGACAGACUUUGUGAUUUUUCUGCUCACGUGUUGUGUUGUUGUAAACUUACUCUUUCAAAUAAAUAGCUGCCUAACCCCC
ensembl:lncRNA